rnacentral:rRNA from 1 species
UACGGAGGGGGCUAGCGUUGUUCGGAAUUACUGGGCGUAAAGCGCUCGUAGGCGGCCUGUUAAGUCGGGGGUGAAAUCCUGGGGCUCAACCUCAGAAUUGCCUCCGAUACUGGCAGUCUCGAGUGCGGGAGAGGUGAGUGGAAUUCCCAGUGUAGAGGUGAAAUUCGUAGAUAUUGGGAAGAACACCAGUGGCGAAGGCGGCCCACUGGCCCGUAACUGACGCUGAGGUGCGAAAGCGUGGGGAGCAAACAGG